AAAGUGCUGUUGAUUUUUAACUUAAAACUAAACCAAAAGGAUUCUGAAAAACAAUUUUAUAAAGCAAAAACCAUAAAUUUAACCAGAUGAACUUUAACCUAAAUUAUUCUUCAUUUUAGGUCAAUGCUUCAACAUGGCCAGAGAUCUGGAAAUAUAUAAUGCAGGGCCGCACAUUUCAGCAAGCCGACAUUUUCGUUGGUCAUUCGAUCCGGAAAACGUGACUAAGUGACGAUCCUCCGUAAUUUGGAUCAACGGAGGAACCCCAAUUCAUACCAUAAAUAGAAGUGUAUACCCCCGUUGAAAGACGUCUGAACUACGAACUGGUCUAUCGAAAAGAUAGAACAAAUAAGGAUCAUGAAGCUAGUGUUGCCUUUAUCCGAAGUACCCUGAAGACUUCAAAGUAUUGCAUUGCUUGUGCUGCUCCGAUGAUUUGCUCUACACCAGUUGAUCAGAUUCAGCAGAAUAUAUAAGAUUGAUUUAUCACCACUCUUCUAAGGAUACGACAUUUCCUUGAGUUCCACAUAUAUUUCAAGGUGCAUUUCUUGAUCAGCCGCACUUCAAUCGUAUUCUAUCUGUCAGAUGUGCGUUUUGGUACCUGAAGACUUCAAAGUAUUGCAUUGCUUGUGCUGCUCCGAUGAUUUGCUCUACACCAGUUGAUCAGAUUCAGCAGAAUAUAUAAGAUUGAUUUAUCAUCACUCUCCUAAGGAUACGACAUUUCCUUGAGUUCCACAUAUAUUUCAAGUGACGAUCCUCCGUAAUUUGGAUCAACGGAGGAACCCCAAUUCAUACCAUAAAUAGAAGUGUAUACCCCCGUUGAAAGACGUCUGAACUACGAACUGGUCUAUCGAAAAGAUAGAACAAAUAAGGAUCAUGAAGCUAGUGUUGCCUUUAUCCGAAGUACCCUGAAGACUUCAAAGUAUUGCAUUGCUUGUGCUGGUGCAUUUCUUGAUCAGCCGCACUUCAAUCGUAUUCUAUCUGUCAGAUGUGCGUUUUGGUGACGAUCCUCCGUAAUUUGGAUCAACGGAGGAACCCCAAUUCAUACCAUAAAUAGAAGUGUAUACCCCCGUUGAAAGACGUCUGAACUACGAACUGGUCUAUCGAAAAGAUAGAACAAAUAAGGAUCAUGAAGCUAGUGUUGCCUUUAUCCGAAGUACCCUGAAGACUUCAAAGUAUUGCAUUGCUUGUGCUGGUUGUUUUGUUCGAGAAUAAAAUGCAUAAAAUAAAAAUUAUAGGUCACGUUUGUGGGUUCCAUUCGGUGCAGAGGACUUGGAAGCUAAAAGGUUACUCCGAACACUCAACCCCUUCGCACGCACGCACUCACUUUCCUCUGGGUAGUCGGCCUUCUUUGCAUUUUUAAAGCACCGCGCUGGCAGCCAUCAAUUUAUCAUGCUGUUGUGUUGGCCAUAUAAGCGGAAGUUGUACAACCCAGCACUACAUGCCCUGCCAGCCGUAUGAGCAGCAACAAUACCAUCAGGAGCAGGCAGCCGCAGCGGCAGGCACGAGAUGGAGAAGGAAGUCGAAGACACAACCCCACUUUCGGGGGGCGGGGGAUGAGUGUCACAUCUAUUUUCAACAUUGUGCAC